rnacentral:rRNA from 1 species
UCGAACGCUUCUUUCCUCCCGAGUGCUUGCACUCAACUGGAAAGAGGAGUGGCGGACGGGUGAGUAACACGUGGGUAACCUACCCAUCAGAGGGGGAUAACACUUGGAAACAGGUGCUAAUACCGCAUAACAGUUUAUGCCGCAUGGCAUAAGAGUGAAAGGCGCUUUCGGGUGUCGCUGAUGGAUGGACCCGCGGUGCAUUAGCCAGUUGGUGAGGUAACGGCUCACCAAGGCCACGAUGCAUAGCCGACCUGAGAGGGUGAUCGGCCACACUGGGACUGAGACACGGCCCAGACUCCUACGGGAGGCAGCAGUAGGGAAUCUUCGGCAAUGGACGAAAGUCUGACCGAGCAACGCCGCGUGAGUGAAGAAGGUUUUCGGAUCGUAAAACUCUGUUGUUAGAGAAGAACAAGGACGUUAGUAACUGAACGUCCCCUGACGGUAUCUAACCAGAAAGCCACGGCUAACUACGUGCCAGCAGCCGCGGUAAUACGUAGGUGGCAAGCGUUGUCCGGAUUUAUUGGGCGUAAAGCGAGCGCAGGCGGUUUCUUAAGUCUGAUGUGAAAGCCCCCGGCUCAACCGGGGAGGGUCAUUGGAAACUGGGAGACUUGAGUGCAGAAGAGGAGAGUGGAAUUCCAUGUGUAGCGGUGAAAUGCGUAGAUAUAUGGAGGAACACCAGU